ensembl:lncRNA
AGGGUGUUCUAGCCCAGGAGUGAGCUAUGGGAUCUAGCUCAGAGCCAUCCUAGGCCACUUACUUGAGAGAGAAGUAAUUGGUCAGGUCUGUCUGUAGCUGAUAAGUAUGGUGACAUGGAUACAAACUCCAGUUUGGGAAAUCUUAGCCUCAGAUUCCCAGGAGCUGAUGGACAGGCACGGCUCUGAAUUUGCACUGUUCUUGAGCUCUUCCCGGAGUGCCUGCUCAUGGCUGCUGGGCUGCGAGCCAUUCCUUUAUGUCUGUCUGAAUAUUACUGAUCUGUGUAUUUUUUUUUCUUGAAGCUUUGUUUGAUUCAAUGAUUGGCAGCCAGAUACCAGGAGACCCCUUUAUGUCCCAGAGAAUCCUGUCAUCAUCCUCUUUGCCAUUGCGCCAGCGUUCGGAUAAGCCCCCUUGGUACAGCAGUGGCCCCUCCAGUACUGUCUCCAGUGCAGGCCCAUCCUCCCCAACCUCUGUGGACAACUGCGCUCGUUUCAGCUUCACUGAGAAACUUUCCAUCAGUCCCCCCAAAAGUGAGGAGCAGCUGACUAGCCAGUCCCCUGAGCAAGAAGAGAGACAACCUCCAGGCAGAGGGCUUGAUGGGGAGGUGGGCAUGUCUGGGUUAUCGGUGGCGGAGCCAAGUGCCCCAGAGACCCUGACCUGGAAUAAGGGGCCAGAGCCAGGCAAGAUCCUGGAGCUCUGCAAGAAGGAGCUGGUGGAGGAGGACUCUAACCCAGAGGACAAGAGCAGGGUGGACCUGGAUGAAGAAGAAUCAGCUGGGGAAAUGUUAGAGCCAAGUAACACAGGGAACCCAAAGUGUGGUGCAGGGUCUGAUAUAAGGCUGGCUGGGGAGAGAGAGAGGCCAGGUGAGGGGUAUAUAGGGGGAAUGACUGGCCUGGAUCAGUCAGGGCUGUCCAAGGAGAUCUUGGUGCCCUGUGAAGAGGAGCUGCUGGGAGAGGUGUUGGACCCAGAGCAUAUGGGCGAGGAGCUGCUGGGGGACAGUGCUCUGUCAGGCCAGCUUCUGACUGGUCACCUGCAGCAGGUGCAGCCACUGCCUCCUGAGAAAAGCAUGGAGGAGCUGCAGCCGCUGUGUUGGGAGGAUCAGCAGAAUUAGUGGCUCACUGGACAGCACACUGCAAGUGCUUCUAGCCUGGAGGCAGCCCAGCUUCCUGCACAGCACCUCAUGCAGCUGGCUGUCCACAGCACAGAACAAGCCAUGUCCCAAGGCCACAGGACUCUGGGGUGUGGAAGAGUCUGCUCUGCUCCUCCACAAGCCAGCUCUUUGCCAUUCGGCAAGAGACAAUGCCCCAUCUGCCUUGUUAAAUUAAUAACAAAUGGAGUCUUGGUACUGGCAUGGCACCUCCAUGGAGCAGGGACAUAGGGCUGCAUUGGUGUUCCAAGGGCUGUAUGCUCGCUGGGACAGCAGAGUUAGAGGAUUGGUAUGGCCAAGGCUUUUGGGGUGCUAAGUCCAAAGGGGACAGAUGCUCCCUUGAGAUUUUUUUGGCCCAUAGCCUUCAGAGGAAGGUAUUCUGGGCCCAAAGUAAUUGGAUCCAUCACAACCACCAACCUCCUCUCUGUUCCUUCCUUCUUCCUCUCUCAAUUCCCACCACUGGCCACCAAGAACAGGUCCAGAGUCCAUGGCAGGAAGACUAGGAGGAGCAGAAAGCACUCUGAAUGAGUGUGGGUAGGACAGUAACGGGGGGAUCAGGUUCAAGAUUGCCACAUGCAAGAAAACAUCUCUUUGAUGUGGACUUGGAUGUUUUCCUGCUGGGCUGGGGCAGGCAGGCAGGAGCCUGGGGAUCCAGCCUGAGAGAGGUGGGCAGGGAGGACACACACGGGUUUUAUUCUAGUCCCCAAGGGUCGGGCAGGGUACAGCUCUGAAGUCUUGGUGACAGAAAUCAAAAGAAACUGCUAUUUGAACAAAUCAGGAUUAUUAGAAACCAAUAAGGAGAAAUCUUUAUUAUAUAUAAAAUGAAAAGUAUUUAAUACAUAUUUAUGUAAAUGACUUGUGAGCACAAGCCUGAGGGCAAGAUUGACACGGGUGUCCCUGUCGCAUCCUGAGUGCAGGCCAGGGCUGUGCCUCCUGCGCCUCCUGUAUUUAUGGACAAGUCUGCGUGUUUGUCUGUAGCUAGGAUCUGUGUUUUUGUGAAGCUGUGCC